CAAGUAAAUCAGAUGGUCGCAUGCUUAAGCAUGAGGAAAGUCCGAGCUCCAAAGGGCAGGAUGCUGGGUAAUACCCAGUGGGGGCAACCCUAAGGAUAGUGCAACAGAAAUAGACCGCCUGCUUUAUACGCAGGUAAGGAUGGAAAGGUGAGGUAAGAGCUCACCAGCAGCUAGGCGACUAGUUGGCUCUGUAAACCCCAUCUGGAGCAAGACCAAGUAGGGACUAGAAAAGGUGGCUGCCCGUCACCAUCCCGUAGGUAGGUCGCUGGAACCUAUUGGCAACGAUAGGUGUAGAUAGAUGAUCGUCAGAUACAGAACUCGGCUUAUAGAUUUGCUUGCAUU
rnacentral:RNase_P_RNA from 1 species